CGGAUAAAAUGACGCCAAUCAUUCAUUCGUUCAUCACUCCCCCAAUCAUUCGUUCAUUCGUCACUCCCUGGACUGGAGAACUCUGAAGAAAAGGGAACCCUAACCCUUCAUCACCGCCACCGUUCCGAGGUCAUCAGCGCCGCCGCCGUCCCCAGGUCCUCAGCGCCGCUGCUUCUUACUCUUCCCCGUGUUCGGAACCAUUAACUCGGCACGUCGUCUUCAUUUUCGCUGGCUUCUCGGCACAGAACCCAGAUGAAGAAGAUGAAGAAGAAGAUGAAGGGUUGUUGUUGUGAAUGAGAAGAAGAAGAAGAUGAAGAAGAAAGAAGAUAUGAGAAGAAGGGUUGUUAUGAGAAGAAGAAGAUGAAGGGUUGUUGUUGUGAAUGAGAAAGGAAGAGAAGAGGGAUCUGCCGUCUGCGUUUGCUUACAUGUUUUUUAAUUUUUGUUUGAGAUAUUGCAUGGACAACGCGAUUUCAGUACAGGGCCUUAGCUGGAUUGAGAAUGCUUUUGGGGAAGAGAAAUCUGUUGAACUGGCUGAGAGCAUGAUUUCCUCUCUGGUGGAGUCUGGUAGUUACCAAUAAAAGUCGGCUUCUGAUUUUUCACCAUUCUUACUCAUGAAACAUACUGGAAUUGACAAAAGCCUACAGGAUGAACUGCCUAAGAGGAGUGGCUAUAAUGAAGGUGAGCUUCACUACUGGGAGUGCAUGUCCUACAUUGAUUAUUUAGAAUAACACCAGGGAGAAAGGUUGAUUUGGACAUCAAAGUUUUUGGAAAAAUUCUUGAUGCUAUAAUGAUUAUCAAGUAUGAUAGGAUAUUUGAAUGUAUUCAUGGGCAAUAUGAUGCUGUUUAUCAAAGUAUGAUAGGAUAUUUGAAGGUUAUUUAGAAUAACUGGAAUGGUCAAGUUAUGCUGACUUAAUUCUAAUGAAGCAAGAAUGGAUAAUCUGCUUCUCUUUAGGUUUUUUUUUUUUACAAAUAAAAAAGGGCGUCGUUUUA